GACGAACGCUGGCGGCGUGCUUAACACAUGCAAGUCGAACGAUGAAGCCGGAGCUUGCUCUGGUGAAUUAGUGGCGAACGGGUGAGUAACACGUGGGUAACCUGCCCCGAACUCUGGGAUAACUGCUGGAAACGGUAGCUAAUACCGGAUAUGACCAAUGAAGGCAUCUUCUGUUGGUGGAAAGAAUUUCGGUUCGGGAUGGACUCGCGGCCUAUCAGCUUGUUGGUGAGGUAACGGCUCACCAAGGCGACGACGGGUAGCCGGCCUGAGAGGGUGGUCGGCCACACUGGGACGGAGACACGGCCCAGACUCGUACGGGAGGCAGCAGUGGGGAAUAUUGCACAAUGGGCGCAAGCCUGAUGCAGCAACGCCGCGUGAGGGACGACGGCCUUCGGGUUGUAAACCUCUUUUAGUAGGGAAGAAGCGAAAGUGACGGUACCUGCAGAAAAAGCACCGGCUAACUACGUGCCAGCCGCCGCCGUAA
rnacentral:rRNA from 1 species